rnacentral:rRNA from 1 species
AUUGAACGCUGGCGGCAGGCCUAACACAUGCAAGUCGAGCGGUUGAGGUAGCUUGCUACCGAUGCAGCGGCGGACGGGUGAGUAAUACAUGGGAAUCUGCCUGGUAGUGGGGGACAACGUUUCGAAAGGAACGCUAAUACCGCAUACGCCCUACGGGGGAAAGGGGGGAUCGCAAGACCUCUCGCUAUCAGAUGAGCCCA